GACGAACGCUGGCGGCGUGCUUAACACAUGCAAGUCGAACGGAAAGGCCUCUUUCGGGGGGUACUCGAGUGGCGAACGGGUGAGUAACACGUGAGUAACCUGCCCUUGACUUUGGGAUAACUUCAGGAAACUGGGGCUAAUACCGGAUAGGAGCUCCUGCUGCAUGGUGGAGGUUGGAAAGUUUCGGCGGUUGGGGAUGGACUCGCGGCUUAUCAGCUUGUUGGUGGGGUAGUGGCUUACCAAGGCUUUGACGGGUAGCCGGCCUGAGAGGGUGACCGGCCACAUUGGGACUGAGAUACGGCCCAGACUCCUACGGGAGGCAGCGGUGGGGAAUAUUGCACAAUGGGUGGAAGCCUGAUGCAGCAACGCCGUGUGCGGGAUGACGGCCUUCGGGUUGUAAACCGCUUUCGCUCAUGACGAAGCUUUGUGUGACGGUAGUGGGUAAAGAAGCACCGGCUAAGUACGUG
rnacentral:rRNA from 1 species